ACUCCCCCUAUUCGUACUUAUGAGAUUCUUUUUACUUUCUUCUUCUUAAGAUCUCACAACUUAAUCACCCUCUCAUAACUUCAUCGGGUAUUGCUUCCUCUUCUUCUUUAAUUCUUCAACGAGAUCCAUAAACAAUAUCAGUUCGUGAAGAUAUGCUCUGAAUCGAUGAAGAAGAUUUGAUGAAGAUUAUCAACAACAUAAAACGAAGAUUCAUCAACAAAAACGAAUCGAAGGAUGGAGACCCAUCAAAUGAAAUUAGUGAUUUAUCGACCAUGAGGAAGUGCUUUUGCUCUCGAACUACCAGCCAUCAAGAUAAAUCCUGUGCCGUGCUCAUUGGUGUGCUGUACUUGACAGACACAGGGCUUACAGCAAAGGAAAUUUUCGUCCUCACUCUGCAGAGAGUAUUGUAAGACUUAUACUCGAUCAAAGUACUAAGAGGAUGAAAAACCUUGGAAUGAGAUGUGUGACCUUGCACUUCCCUGCACAUCUGGUGCUGUAAAUUUGGUCAGCUCAGGUUGGCAUUAUAUUGGUAGAAGGCUCAACUAUGACUUGUACUCCUCAAGCAGUUGAUGUACUGAGGAAAGCUAAUGUUCUUAUUGUUCCCGGCUGCUGGAAGUGGAUGGGUGUAUGUACCAUAAAGGAUCCUCGAUGUGGGAGAUUGCCAUGUACUCACUAAGGAACUUACGCUAAUGAUUGUAUGGUUGAUAAAGAUACCUAGGUAUAAAAGUUGAAGGUGGAGCCUGUCUUGCUACAUUGCUUCCCUCGAAUGAGUCCUUCAAGCCAGGAAUUCCAAAUGUGAGAUGGUUUGGGGUCGAAGGAGAAAAUAAUGUUCUUGUCAUGAAUUUACUUGGACCUAGUCCGAAAGAUCUCUUCAAAGGCUGAUUUAAUGCUUGCUGAUCAGAUGGUUUGUGGACUCCGUAAAGUUUCUUAAUGAGUGGCAUUAUUAGUGUGAAAAACGCCCUCAAGCCAACAAGAACUCUGCUCUUAAUAAUAAGUUUAUCACCCUAGAUAACGAUUGUAGAUCAGACGAGAACUAUUCUGACGCAUAAAGUGUUGAUGAAGGACUUAAGAACGUUCUUUUAGUUACAGGACCAGUUGGGGUACGUUCCUUUUGUAUUUGACGAAAAAAUGAAGCUCAUCUGUUUUUUCUCUGUAGUCUUUAUCUUUGUUAUUGGCUUAAAGAUUUUAUCUUUUGAUACAUGAAUCUGACUGUAGAUUUAUGUCUUGUGCCAUAAACCUUGGCAACUUUAAUUACCAAGGAAAUUUUGUUAUAAUUUUACGUUUUGUAUUUAAAGGUUUUCAUUUUGGCUUGAA